CCUACGGGAGGCAGCAGUGAGGAAUAUUGGUCAAUGGGCGUAAGCCUGAACCAGCCAAGUCGCGUGAGGGAUGAAGGUUCUAUGGAUCGUAAACCUCUUUUGUCAGGGAACAAAGGCGGGGACGUGUCCCCGGAUGAGUGUACCUGAAGAAAAAGCAUCGGCUAACUCCGUGCCAGCAGCCGCGGUAAUACGGAGGAUGCGAGCGUUAUCCGGAUUUAUUGGGUUUAAAGGGUUCGCAGGCGGUCUGUUAAGUCAGCGGUCAAAGCCCGGGGCUCAACCCCGGCCCGCCGUUGAAACUGGCAGUCUCGAGUUGGAGAGAGGUAUGCGGAAUGCGCGGUGUAGCGGUGAAAUGCAUAGAUAGCGCGCAGAACUCCGAUUGCGAAGGCAGCAUGCCGGCUCCACACUGACGCUGAGGCACGAAAGCGUGGGUAUCGAACAGGAUUAGAUACCCUGGUAGUC
rnacentral:rRNA from 1 species